CAGCACCCAGCAUGGGAGGGAGGACCUUCUCUCCUCCUUCCCUUACCCUUCCUCUCUCUCCUCCCUCUUUCUUACGAUGGGGCUGUGCCAUGCCAGGAACCUGCAAAUCAAGAAGAUCCCAAUAGAGUCCACAGCCCCAGAAAUCAAGACCCUCAGCCCAGGCUGGGAGGAGAACCCGGUGUCAGUGCAAGACCUUGCAGUUCAGUGGCUAAAUUGGCUCAUAAGGCUGUGCCUGUCAGGGAUGUCAAGAACAUCUUCUGUGGUGCUCUCCUGUGAGCAGAAUGAGCUCUGACUAUACAUAUAGGAGGAAGGAAAGAGGAA